UAGUAAGGCGCCAGUAUUUGUGGAAGCAUCACGCCGCGCGUGGAAGCCGAUUUCGAUGUAGGCCCGUCUAUCAUGAAUAAUCUGAAUAUUUUAAGAAAAGUCGCCGUGUUCACAAAAAAUUUUGAACAUGCUAAAUUCGUCGAUUCCACCGCCUCGAAUCAUACAAAAAACUACAGGUUCAAAAGAUAAGAUGUUAACUCAGAUAUUAUUGAAAAACAGAAUAUUCCUUCAUGUAGUCCGCCAAAACAUGACGACACAAUAUCUAAUAGUCUUGAAAAAUUCAAUAACUCUGAUACUACUCCCAAUAUUCUCGUAACUGACACCACUUUAACUAUUGCAUCUACAUCUAUGAGAUCAAGGGUAUCUUCUACUCCAGCUCGUCGUCUAGUUCCAGCAGCAGUUGUAGUAGUAGUUCAUCAUCCCGUAGUGGUACACCAAUAAAUAGAGAAAAAUCUGUAACACCUCAAGACAAACAACCUGAUAUUCAGAUAUCAGAUUCACCUUCAAUUUUAAUAAUAUUGAAACGACGCCUGCACGUCGAGCCCCUGCAGUAAAUUAUCAUGUUUCACCGAUAAAUUCUGGAGAAAGUGAGGUCGAUCUUAGCGACAAUGAUCCUACCUAUAACCAAGGAAGUAGACCACGUUUAUCAACCACCACAUCUUUGUCUUCUGCAACAGAAACCAUAGCUGAAGUGUCCACAUCUAAGAAAUUAACAAGAAAACGUAAAGCCGACCCUACCAAGUGGAAGCAGAAUCAGCAAAAGAUCAAACGAAACUUAGGAGAAGCAUACACAUCUACUAAUACCAAAAAACAAAUUCUUGCUCGGGAAAUGAAGCCACCAUGUACUCAA